rnacentral:lncRNA from 1 species
CCCCUACCUAGCACGUCAAACUGUUGCAGCUCAUCUCUGAUGGAGUAGUCAGAUCGUCUCAUCUGAGUAUCGAAUGGUAAGAAGCUGGUGGAGAAGGACCGCUCAUCGGAGAGAGAGAUCACAGUCGAGAGGGUUGAGAACGAGAGUGAGGACUCACAAUGUAUUGAAUAGAGGAAGGAUCAACUUAGGCUGGACGAAAAGGUUGAUCGAUGGCAUCCAGUGGCAGUCGAAAAACCUGCAAGAAAUACCUGCGCCAGAGAUGGCUUCAAUGAC